AGGAUGAACGCUAGCGGCAGGCCUAACACAUGCAAGUCGAGGGGUAACAUGGUGUGCUUGCACACUGAUGACGACCGGCGCACGGGUGCGCAACGCGUAUAGAACCUACCCUGUACAGGGGGAUAGCCCGGAGAAAUCCGGAUUAAUACCCCGUGGUAACAUGAUAUGGCAUCGUAUUAUGUUUAAAGCCUUCGGGCGGUACGGGAUGGCUAUGCGUCCUAUUAGCCAGAUGGUGAGGUAACGGCUCACCAUAGCUACGAUAGGGU
rnacentral:rRNA from 1 species